GCCUGGCUGGCUCAGUCACUGGAGUAUGCGACUCUCGAUCUCAGGGUUGUGGGUUCGAGCCCCACUUUGGGUA
rnacentral:tRNA from 1 species